rnacentral:rRNA from 1 species
AGAGUUUGAUCCUGGCUCAGGAUGAACGCUAGCUACAGGCUUAACACAUGCAAGUCGAGGGGCAGCGCAGUGUAGCAAUACAUGGGCGGCGACCGGCGCACGGGUGCGUAACGCGUAUCCAACCUUCCCGUUACUCUUGGAUAGCCUUCCGAAAGGGAGAUUAAUACAGGAUGGUGUUUGAAUUCCGCAUGUUAUUCAAACUAAAGAUUUAUCGGUAACGGAUGGGGAUGCGUGACAUUAGAUGGAUGGCGGGGUAACGGCCCACCAUGUCUACGAUGUCUAGGGGUUCUGAGAGGAAGGUCCCCCACACUGGAACUGAGACACGGUCCAGACUCCUACGGGAGGCAGCAGUGAGGAAUAUUGGUCAAUGGUCGGAAGACUGAACCAGCCAAGUAGCGUGAAGGAUGAAGGUCCUAUGGAUUGUAAACUUCUUUUAUACGGGAAUAAAACACACCACGUGUGGUGUCUUGUACGUACCGUAUGAAUAAGCAUCGGCUAACUCCGUGCCAGCAGCCGCGGUAAUACGGAGGAUGCGAGCGUUAUCCGGAUUUAUUGGGUUUAAAGGGAGCGUAGACGGGGGAUUAAGUCAGUUGUGAAAGGCUGCGGCUCAACCGCAGCACUGCAGUUGAUACUGGUUCCCUUGAGUGCGGUUGAGGUGUAUGGAAUUCGUGGUGUAGCGGUGAAAUGCUUAGAUAUCACGAAGAACUCCGAUUGCGAAGGCAGUACACUAAGCCGUAACUGACGUUGAGGCUCGAAAGUGUGGGUAUCAAACGAGGAUUAGAUACCCUGGUAGUCCACACGGUAAACGA